UACGGGGGGGGCAAGCGUUGUUCGGAAUUACUGGGCGUAAAGGGCUCGUAGGUGGCCAACUAAGUCAGACGUGAAAUCCCUCGGCUUAACCGGGGAACUGCGUCUGAUACUGGAUGGCUUGAGUUUGGGAGAGGGACGCGGAAUUCCAGGUGUAGCGGUGAAAUGCGUAGAUAUCUGGAGGAACACCGAUGGCGAAGGCAAUCCCCUGGGCCUGCACUGACGCUCAUGCACGAAAGCGUGGGGAGCAAACAGG
rnacentral:rRNA from 1 species